rnacentral:rRNA from 1 species
UACGUAGGGUGCGAGCGUUAAUCGGAAUUACUGGGCGUAAAGCGUGCGCAGGCGGCGCGUUAAGACAGGUGUGAAAGCCCCGAGCUUAACUUGGGAAUUGCGCUUGUGACUGGCGUGCUGGAGUGUGGCAGAGGGAGGUGGAAUUCCACGUGUAGCAGUGAAAUGCGUAGAGAUGCGGAGGAACACCGAUGGCGAAGGCAGCCCCCUGGGCCAACACUGACGCUCAGGCACGAAAGCGUGGGGAGCAAACAGG